rnacentral:tRNA from 1 species
AGCUAAGUAGCUUAUAAUUAGAGCAAUGCAUUGAAGCUGCACAGGAGCUGGAUCAGCCGUAGCUA